rnacentral:rRNA from 1 species
GACAGAGGGUGCAAACGUUGUUCGGAAUUACUGGGCGUAAAGCGUGUGUAGGCGGCCGCGUAAGUCGGAUGUGAAAGCCCUGGGCUCAACCCAGGAAGUGCACUCGAUACUGCGUGGCUUGAGUACUGGAGAGGUUGGUGGAAUUCUCGGUGUAGAGGUGAAAUUCGUAGAUAUCGAGAGGAACACCGGUGGCGAAAGCGGCUCUCUGGACCACAACUGACGCUGAGGCGCGAAAGCUAGGGGAGCAAACAGG